GACGUAGGGCGCGAGCGUUGUCCGGAUUUAUUGGGCGUAAAGAGCUCGUAGGCGGCUUGUCGCGUCGACUGUGAAAACCCGUGGCUCAACCAUGUGGUCUGCAGUCGAUACGGGCAGGCUAGAAUUCGGUAGGGGAGACUGGAAUUCCUGGUGUAGCGGUGAAAUGCGCAGAUAUCAGGAGGAACACCGGUGGCGAAGGCGGGUCUCUGGGCAUUAACUGACGCUGAGGAGCGAAAGCAUGGGGAGCGAACAGG
rnacentral:rRNA from 1 species